UUAAAUUCUUAGGAUCCGGUAACGUUGGGUCAAAGUGUAGUAUCUGUUCUUAUCAGCUUAAUAUCUGAUACGGGUUGUAUUUCGAGCCAAGAUAUUAAACUUAUUUUUGCAAGUUGGCGCGGUGCUCGAAGCCUGCUUCAUCUCUGCCGCGGGUCGGCCCGGUAUUUCACUAUCUCCGAGAUCGGCCAACGGUUU